AGGGCCGAGUAGAAAGCACUUUGGAGAAUCAACAGCACGUGAAAUUGUUGAAAGGGAAGCGCUUGCAGCCAGACUUGCUUGCAGUUGCUCAUCCGGGCUUUUGCCCGGUGCACUCUUCUGCAGGCAGGCCAGCAUCAGUUUGGGCGGUGGGAUAAAGGUCUCUGUCAUGUACCUCUCUUCGGGGAGGCCUUAUAGGGGAGGCGACAUACCACCAGCCUAGACUGAGGUCCGCGCAUCUGCUAGGAUGCUGGCGUAAUGGCUGUAAGCGGCCCGUCUUGAAACACGGACCAAG
rnacentral:rRNA from 1 species